rnacentral:lncRNA from 1 species
AAUGUAAUGUGAGACAUUGAGAUAAGACUCCAUCUGCCCCAGGAGCAGAUUUCCUGAGCCCUAGGGGACUGGCUCGCCUUGAAUUCCAGACACGGAUUUUCCCUUGCUGGCUAUCUGUAGGAUCACUGCAACUCCCAAGCCCAGAGAGCACCCGGUUCAGACGCAGAUGGAAAGAUGGUGGCUGCAGAGGAAACGAAAAUUGGAGGGUUAUGUGGAAUGACUGAGACACUG